UACGAGGGCCCCGAGCGUUAUCCGGAAUUAUUGGGCGUAAAGGGUGUGUAGGCGGUCAACUAAGUCAGACGUGAAAUCCCUCAGCUUAACUGGGGAACUGCGUCUGAUACUGGAUGGCUUGAGUUUGGGAGAGGGAUGCGGAAUUCCAGGUGUAGCGGUGAAAUGCGUAGAUAUCUGGAGGAACACCGGUGGCGAAGGCGGCAGCCGGGACCAACACUGACACUGAGGAGCGAAGGCCAGGGGAGCAAACGGG
rnacentral:rRNA from 1 species